GGACCCCCUUCUCACUCGCGGUGCACGUGUCGCCGGCGUCCGAGCUACGUCGCGAGGUGCUGGUGCUACUCCGUGGCCGGCCAUCCUCCACGCCGACCGAUCCCGCUAGGGUGUACUGUCAGUGCAUUCAGCGGCCUGACCUCCGCGCAGAAUUGACAGAGCUUGCAAAUGGUCAUGGAGGCAGCUCUUGUGGGUGUGGCGACAGGGGCCCUGAAGCCUGUCCUGGGGAAGCUGGGAACUCUGCUCGGUGAAGAGUACAGGCGGUUCAAGGGUGUGCGCAAGGAGAUCAAGUCUCUCACUCAUGAGCUUGCUGCCAUGGAGGCUUUUCUCCUCAAGAUGUCCGAGGUGGAGGAUCCUGAUGCGCAGGAUAAAGUAUGGAUGAAUGAGGUGCGGGAGCUUUCUUAUGACAUGGAGGACGCCAUCGAUGACUUCAUGCAAAGUGUUGAUGACGAAGACGAAAAGCCAGAUGGCUUCAUUGAGAAGAUCAAAAACUCAUUGGGGAAAUUGGGGAAGUUGAACUUCCGCCGUCGGAGUGGCAGAGAUAUCCAAGAUCUGAAGAAACAAAUCAUUGAGGUGGGUGACAGGAAUGCAAGAUACAGGACUGGUGUGGCUGUAUCCAACUCCAAGAAUGCAACCGUUGACCCUCGAGCUCUUGCUAUCUUUGAGCAUGCCUCAAAAUUGGUGGGAAUCGAUGAACCUAAGGCUGAGAUAAUCGAACUGUUGACUCAAGAGGAUGGACGCACUUCUGCAGAAGAGCCAUUGAAGGUAGUCUCCAUUGUUGGAUCCGGAGGAACAGGCAAGACAACUCUUGCAUACCAAGUGUACCAAGACCUCAAAGGGAAAUUCGACUGUUCGGCCUUCCUAUCCGUGUCGCGAAAUCCAGACAUGAUACAUAUCAUGAGAACUAUUCAUAGUCAAGUUAGCCAUCAAGAAUAUUCUAAAACGGAAGCAGCAAAUGUACAACAAGUUAUCAUCAAUAUCAGCAAUUUUCUAGCUGACAAAAGGUACUUUGUUGUUGUUGAUGAUAUAUGGGACUUCGACACAUGGGAUAUUAUUAAGUGUGCAUUCCCCACUACAAGUUAUAGUAAUAGAAUAAUCACCACUACUCGUUUGAACAAUGUCGCUCAUUCAUGCUGUUCAACAUUUAGUGGUCAUAUUUAUUAUAUAAGGCCUCUUGAUAUGGUGCACUCAAGGCAAUUAUUUCAUAGAAGAUUAUUCAAGCCUGAUGAAAAUUGUCCUUCAUACCUUCAAGAAGUUUCAGAGCAGAUAUUGAAAAAAUGCCACGGGUUACCUUUGGCGAUAGUUGCUAUAUCUGGUUUAUUGGCUAACACAAGAAGAGAAGAAAAUAUGUGGAAUCAAGUGAAAGAUUCAAUUGGUCGUGCACUUGAAAGAAAUCCUAGCAUUGAAGGAAUGAUGAAGAUAUUGUCACUUAGUUACUUUGAUCUGCCUCCUUAUCUAAAAACUUGUCUCUUAUAUCUGAGCAUAUAUCUAGAAGAUUCUACUAUUGGGAAGGAGGGACUGAUAAAAAGAUGGAUUGCUGAAGGAUUUAUUCAUAGAGAAGGCAGAUACACAACAUAUGAGUUAGGAGAAAUGUGCUUUAAUGAGCUCCUGAAUAGGGGUUUGAUCCAACCUGUGGAGACGAAUGAAUAUGACAAGGUGGAGAGUUGUCGAGUUCAUGACACAAUUCUUGAUUUCAUCAUAUCCAAGUCUAUAGAAGAGAACUUCGUCACUUUACUUGGUGAUCCUGUUCUAACAAUUAAGAACCAAAGCAAAGUUGUUCGUCGACUCUGUCUCCAAGGUGCCAAGGAAGGAAAUUCAACAGUACUAACAACAGGUUUCGUGUUGUCCCAUGUCCGAUCACUUAUUGUGGUCAGAGGUGCUGUGGAAAUCCCUUCUUUGGCAGAGUUCAGACAUCUGCGUGUUCUCGACUUGAGUGACCAAUCACUGAAAGAACAACAUCUUGAAAACAUAGUGAAGUUGUUCCAGCUGAGGUACUUGAACCUUGAAAGUACAAUAAUAAGCAAGCUCCCAGAACAAAUCGGGCGUUUGGGGUUCUUACAGAUGCUGGACCUAAGUGACACUUGUGUAGAAGAGUUACCCACGUCUAUUAUUAAUCUUGGAAAAUUGUCCCAUCUACUUGUUGAUAAUUAUGUGAAAUUUCCUGAUGGGAUUGCAAAGAUGCAAGCACUGGAGACGUUGGAAGAUGUGAGGGUCUCCAUUCAGCCGUUUGACUUCCUAUGGGGCCUUGGUCAACUAAAGAAUUUGAGAAAUCUGCAGCUUGACCUUCGUUUUGAAGUUGAUUCUGACACUGAGGAUACAUAUGUGGCUGAAGAGGAGUGCAACAAAGCUAUCUUCUCUUCCCUGUGUAAGCUAGGCACCCAGAACCUCCGGUCCCUGACUAUUUAUGGAGGGAGCAGCCUCUUACAGGAACCUUUGUGCCUACCGACCCUCGUGAAACUUAUUACCCGGUCUUCAGCCAUUCCACAGGUUCCGACAUGGGUGAGCUCCCUCAUAAACCUCCAGCUGCUACGCCUUACAGUGAAGGGGAUCAAGAAAAGUGAUCUCUGCAUCCUUGGAGCCUUACCUGCUCUGCUCAUUUUGCAUCUGGAGGAAGUAACACGGUCAAACGAAAAGAUAAGAAUCAGUGGCGAAGUUGGGUUCCAAUGUUUGAGAAUUUUCAUUUAUGAUGCACAUUAUAAACCAGUUGAUCUGAUGUUUGGAGCAGGGUCCAUGCCCAAGCUAGAAAAACUCGUGCUUAAGAGUUUGUAUGAGGUUGAAGCUGACAGUCUGGACUUUGGAAUAGAGAACCUCCCGAGCCUCACAACUGUCAAAUGUGAAGUACUUGGCAGUGAUGGCAUUGUUGGAGCCGUAAAGACUGCGAUGAAGAGAGCAGCCAACACACAUCCCAACCGCCCUACUAUAGUCACAUAAUAAGCACGGUUCCCGCCGGUUUCUACCAUGAUUGAACAGGCCAAGAAAUAGGAAUUGGGGAGCUUGCCAUACGGUCUGCUGAUUCCCAAGGUUACUCUCCGGAUGAUUAUUUUGGCCGCCUGUCUAAUGUUGGAAACGAGACUCUGUUUCCUGAAUGAGCCGCAUAUGAAGAUGGUGGCGUUGGGCCUCCGAAUCGCUACAAGCUGUCGUUGAUGCUCGCCAAGGAAAAUCCUGAACUCAGCGACGAGUUAAUAAUGCAUCAGGCCAGACCUCUGCUUUUAGCCUCAUUGCCCCGUCAUAUUUAUGUAGUUGAAUGUUGUGAAUCUCUAGUUCUAGAUCAUCCAGGCUGUCUUUGAAAACUGUAUGUCGUCUCUCCCAGUAGCAGCAAACAUUUUGCAGUUCGGAGUUGUUAGAACUUCAGUUGCCCUUUAGACAUGUGAAAGGAGCAACCUUUGCAACAAAUUUGACUUGAAAAAAAAAUGCAGUCUCCUGACAGAGUUGCUGCUCCUGCUCACGCACCCCCUUCGUCUUCGUCUUGGUUGGGUAAUGCCAUGCGUUUCUAGCUUAAGCUGUAGUUUUCUUGACGGGAAACUCGUUUGAGAUGUACUCCAUCAUCAGGCUGUCUUGAAUUUCUGUUUCCUGGCCUCAUGUACACAUCUGUCUCUCUGUCUAUCUCUGCAGCUCAAAGGUUCAGCCCUGCUCCGCCCUGCAACUGUUCCUAUCUCUGCUACUAUUUCCAAAUGGGAAAAGCUAAUUAAGAUGCGAACUGUAACACUUGUAUGUUAUUUUCCUCCUCCUUUUUGCAGCGAUACGUCUGGGUGAUGUUGGCAAGGACACAAUCUCUGUUUCCUGGAUGAAGAUGGCGCUGAUGGAUUCAGACCCAUCCUGAACCCAGUGAGUGCAGCGCCAGCACUCGGUCUCUUGGGGAGACUCUGAUGCAUUUGUACCAAAGUUCUGCAGAUGAUUCAGUAGCAGAUUUGGUGCUUCGGUGUCCCUGCUGACAAUGGACACAAGAAAUUCUCUUGUUGAAUGGGGUCAAGACUCAAGAGGGGCUGCUGCACUGCAUGUUGGUGCUGGACACUGCAUAACUGGGGCCUCUAGAAGUAUAUCACCAGGCCAAAAACAGGAACAUCACCAAACAUGAGAAUUGUGGCUCCUCAUCCGGUUUUUCUGAAAACAAGUUUCAGAGUUUUCAGCUACACGCUUUUCAGUUGACUUGCCGUUUCUGCAUGUUUUCACGAGGAGUGGUACAGGAGGGGAUCAACUAUGCCUUGCCCUGCUAUGCAGUGAUACAUCUUGGUGAUGUUUGAAAAUGGACGAAGAUGGCGCCGAUGGAUUUGGGCAUCGAAACCGCCACCAGAUGUCCUCGGAGAUCGCCAAGGUGUUGUGCGUCGAAAUCGCCACAACCUGUCCUGGAAGAUCGUCGAGGAUGAGUAGGCAGUUAAUGCGUCGCCAGAUCUCUCCCAAUGACAAUUUUACCCUGAUUAAUUUGGAAGUAGAAGCCAAGAACAUGAGAGUUGCUGGUUGCUGCUCCUGCUCCUUUUACAUACAUGCACCAAUAUAUGCAUCUUCUCGUUUUCUCAACAAUUUGGCUGAAGUUAUGCUUGGUCUUUUACAGUUACGUAUAUGUUUGCUAUAUGACUAUAUAUCACUGUUAAAAAUUCAGACACUCUCUCUCCGUGAAGAUGACGCUGCUGGUUUUGGAAAUAGCUAACAAUCAUUAGGAGCUGUACUCCAAAAACUCACAAUAAGUACCACCCUGAACUUGGUGAAGGGCGAGUAAUCAUUCUGUACACAUGAUGAAGUAAUGCAGUGCGCCAGGUUUCGAUUUUA